AACGCAGUAACUCUCUAAGCUGAACCUCCCCGCAAGAUUAGAUUACCAUCCGGUGCCAUGUCAUUUCCUGUAAUCUCAACUGAAGAACAAUGCAUCACUCGGCCUUAUUUUAUACUUCUACUAGUGAUUGUUCCAUGGAAUAAAAGCUUAAGCAAUACGCCUGCAGGUUUUCUUAGGGUGAGUUCAAUCAGGUUCCCAUCUGACUCUGAGUAGUGGGUACUGACAGUGCUGCCUGUGUUGCUAAGCAGGUGUUUUCACCGAGUUGAUUCAGGAGAUGCAAGUAAAAGGUGUACAGGUUAGCUUCCAGGGAUUCCUUGGUGGGGCUAACGUUCUCCUUGGAAGCAUUCUCAGGUGCAUCCACAGGACCUGGAGAAGUAUGCUGGCGCGACACGGGUGAAUGGCCAGCUAGAGGUAAU